AUGGGCUGCAUUGAGGGGACCAGGUCUCCCGUGUGACUUGGACCCAACGGGUCCCAGUUAGUCUAGUAACAUUUAA